rnacentral:rRNA from 1 species
UACGGAGGGGCUAGCGUUGUUCGGAAUUACUGGGCGUAAAGCGCACGUAGGCGGCUUUGUAAGUUAGAGGUGAAAGCCCAGGGCUCAACCCUGGAAUUGCCUUUAAGACUGCAUCGCUUGAACAUCGGAGAGGUAAGUGGAAUUCCGAGUGUAGAGGUGAAAUUCGUAGAUAUUCGGAAGAACACCAGUGGCGAAGGCGACUUACUGGACGAUUGUUGACGCUGAGGUGCGAAAGCGUGGGAGCAAACAGG